UGAAUAAUGUGAAAAGUUCUACAAUAAAAUAAUGAGAAAAAAUAUUUAUACUAGCCCUAAAAUCUAGUAAGAAUAGAAAAACAAUAAUUAAAGAUUACAAGAAUUUUAACAAAAUGAGGAAAUUCGCGAAAAAUGAAACUUUUUUAUCCUGAAAUUGGUCUAUGCGACCGCAAGGUAGAAUGUUGUGUGGUCGCAUGGAUCUCACAAAAUUUCCUUAGCUGCUCUCCGGUUGCCGGUAUGAGACCGCAUGGCUGUUAAAACUGUAUGGUCACAUGGGUCUUUGUGUGGUCUCCAACUUUGACCUCUUGUAUCGAGCUUAUCCAAAUGCUUUCGGCUUUCGGCCCCAGCAUGGAAUUUGCCCCAUUUCUCGCCACAAUCAUCGUUUCAUCAAUUGUUGAUUGAACAAAUAGCCCCAUCACUUGAUUUACUCGCUUUGCACUUGAACGCAUCAUCGAUCAACCUUCGAUAAUCAACGGGUAUAGUCUGGGACUUGUCUUUGUUAGGCUCGGCUCUUGGAUCACAUCAGAUUACAUAAUAUAACUUGGAAGGAAAAGAUUGGAUAAAAAAGUUGAUUGUAUUUUAAACUGACAAAUUAUAAAGUGUCGUGUGGCAUUAUUUAAACCAUUAUGUAAAUUUGUAUAUACAUGUAGCAAAUCCUAUCUCAAAUUGCCUUUCUACGUGCAAGCCAGAAAUUUGUACACCAAAUCUCUAACCAGGAGUCAUUAUGAUGAACUGGUGGAUCAAGAAAAAUGGGCCACCAUUAAAUCACUUUUUUGGGCUCUUAGAAUGAUAGCUACUUUGAAGAUUUCACAUUAUGACAUCUUUCUAGUUUGAUUUAUCACAAAUAAGCUUUAGGAAAAUGUGAUGGCUUUAUUAUUAGUAGUAAAACGAGGCGAAAGCUUUCAAUCACAUUGAACAAGGUAACCAAGAGUGCUUCAACAUUUAUGGUUUAACAUAUAGAAUAAGAGGAGAAAAGGAUCCAUUUAGAGUCAGGAUGGAUAACUUUUUGGGAAGAGUACAAACAUUUUAUAAUGUUUUAA
rnacentral:lncRNA from 1 species